UACGGGGGGGGCAAGCGUUGUUCGGAAUUACUGGGCGUAAAGCGCACGUAGGCGGAUUGUUAAGUCGGGAGUGAAAUCUCUGGGCUCAACCCAGAGUCUGCUUCCGAAACUGCUGUGCUUGAGUGUGGGAGAGGCGCGUGGAAUUGCAGGUGUAGCGGUGAAAUGCGUAGAUAUCUGCAGGAACACCCGUGGCGAAAGCGGCGCGCUGGACCACUACUGACGCUGAGGAACGAAAGCUAGGGGAGCAAACAGG
rnacentral:rRNA from 1 species